CAGGGUAUAGUUUAAUAAAAAUAUUAAUUUUGGAGAUUAAAGAUAGAGCUGGCUUUUCCCCUGA
rnacentral:tRNA from 1 species